rnacentral:rRNA from 1 species
CCUACGGGCGGCAGCAGUGAGGAAUAUUGGUCAAUGGGCGCGAGCCUGAACCAGCCAAGUAGCGUGAAGGAUGACUGCCCUAUGGGUUGUAAACUUCUUUUAUAAAGGAAUAAAGUGAGCCACGUGUGCGUUUUUGUAUGUACCAUAUGAAUAAGGAUCGGCUAACUCCGUGCCAGCAGCCGCGGUAAUACGGAGGAUCCGAGCGUUAUCCGGAUUUAUUGGGUUUAAAGGGAGCGUAGAUGGAUUGUUAAGUCAGUUGUGAAAGUUUGCGGCUCAACCGUAAAAUUGCAGUUGAUACUGGCAGUCUUGAGUACAGUAGAGGUAGGCGGAAUUCGUGGUGUAGCGGUGAAAGGCUUAGAUAUCACGAAGAACUCCGAUUGCGAAGGCAGCCCACUAAACUGCAACUGACACUGAGGCUCGAAAGUGUGGGUAUCAAACAGGAUUAGAUACCCGUGUAGUC